rnacentral:rRNA from 1 species
UGGGGAAUAUUGCACAAUGGGCGAAAGCCUGAUGCAGCAACGCCGCGUGAGUGAUGAAGGCCUUCGGGUUGUAAAGCUCUGUCUUUUGGGACGAUAAUGACGGUACCAAAGGAGGAAGCCACGGCUAACUACGUGCCAGCAGCCGCGGUAAUACGUAGGUGGCAAGCGUUGUCCGGAUUUACUGGGCGUAAAGGAUGCGUAGGCGGAUUUUUAAGUGAGAUGUGAAAACCCUAAGCUUAACUUGGGGACUGCAUUUCAUACUGGAAAUCUAGAGUGCGGGAGAGGAGAAUGGAAUUCCUAGUGUAGCGGUGAAAUGCGUAGAGAUUAGGAAGAACACCAGUGGCGAAGGCGAUUCUCUGGACCGUAACUGACGCUGAGGCACGAAAGCGUGGGUAGCAAACAGGAUUAGAUACCCUGGUAGUCCACGCCGUAAACGAUGAGUACUAGGUGUAGGAGGUAUCGACCCCUUCUGUGCCGCAGUUAACACAAUAAGUACUCCGCCUGGGAAGUACGAUCGCAAGAUUAAAACUUAAAUGAAUUGAC